GAUGAACGCUGGCGGCGUGCCUAAUACAUGCAAGUCGAGCGAACAGACGAGGAGCUUGCUCCUCUGACGUUAGCGGCGGACGGGUGAGUAACACGUGGAUAACCUACCUAUAAGACUGGGAUAACUUCGGGAAACCGGAGCUAAUACCGGAUAAUAUAUUGAACCGCAUGGUUCAAUAGUGAAAGACGGUUUUGCUGUCACUUAUAGAUGGAUCCGCGCCGCAUUAGCUAGUUGGUAAGGUAACGGCUUACCAAGGCAACGAUGCGUAGCCGACCUGAGAGGGUGAGCGCCCACACGGAAACGGAGACCCGGCCCAGCCUCCUAGGGGGGGCAGAAGAGGGGAUUCUCCCGAAAGGGGCGAAAGCCUGACGGAGCAACGCGGGGUGAGUGAUGAAGUUCUUGGGAUCGAAAAACUUUUUUAUGGGGGAAAAAAAAAUGUGUAAGUAACUAGCCACGUCUUGACGGUACCUAACAAGAAAGCCCCGGCUAACUCCGUG
rnacentral:rRNA from 1 species